rnacentral:tRNA from 1 species
AUUAAAGUGGCAGAAUAGUGCAGCAAAGUUAAGUUUUGUUAAUGGACAAUAUUGUCCCUUUGAUU